rnacentral:rRNA from 1 species
UACGUAGGGACCAAGCGUUGUUCGGAUUUACUGGGCGUAAAGGGCGCGUAGGCGGCCUAGCAAGUCACUUGUGAAAUCUCCGGGCUUAACUCGGAACUGUCAAGUGAAACUGCUGGGCUAGAGUGCAGAAGGGGCAAUCGGAAUUCUUGGUGUAGCGGUGAAAUGCGUAGAUAUCAAGAGGAACACCUGAGGUGAAGACGGGUUGCUGGGCUGACACUGACGCUGAGGCGCGAAAGCCAGGGGAGCAAACGGG